UAUAGUUUCCUAGAAGAAGACUAGGUUGAUAGGUUUUAGGUGUAAGUGUAGUGAUACAUUUAGCCAAGAAAUACUAAUAAAACUAAACCUUUUUUCAU
rnacentral:ncRNA from 1 species